GGACGUGCUGCUGGGCCGCGGGGGAUGCACCGGCUGUCUGCUGGAGCGCUCAGGCUCGCGUUUGACCAGGGAAGGGGUAAAAGAGAGGCCAGUAUCCGGGGGAUCCCGAUCAAUUUUAUUCAGACUGGACAGCACCUGCACUGUUCUUUCCCUCCUCCAGGAUCCUGAAUUCAGCUUUCUCUGAGACAGUUUGGGCUGAUCCAAUACCGGAGGACCAGAUGAAAUAGGAGGUGGAAAGAAAUUUUGAAAAAGUCUGGGGCCAUGAGAAGCUUCAUUUUUGAUAGAGCUCACAUAUCUGGGCUGCAUUCGACGAAAGAUGAGAACGCGAUCUGACAAAAUGAGUAGAGUUCUCCAGAGGACAGGGAGGUGAAUGGGUGA